rnacentral:rRNA from 1 species
GACGAACGCUGGCGGCGUGCCUAAUACAUGCAAGUUGAGCGAUGAAGAUUGGUGCUUGCACCAAUUUGAAGAGCAGCGCACGGGUGAGUAACGCGUGGGGAAUCUGCCUUUGAGCGGGGGACAACAUUUGGAAACGAAUGCUAAUACCGCAUAACAACUUUAAACAUAAGUUUUAAGUUUGAAAGAUGCAAUUGCAUCACUCAAAGAUGAUCCCGCGUUGUAUUAGCUAGUUGGUGAGGUAAAGGCUCACCAAGGCGAUGAUACAUAGCCGACCUGAGAGGGUGAUCGGCCACAUUGGGACUGAGACACGGCCCAAACUCCUACGGGAGGCAGCAGUAGGGAAUCUUCGGCAAUGGACGAAAGUCUGACCGAGCAACGCCGCGUGAGUGAAGAAGGUUGUCGGAUCGUAAAACUCGGUUGGUAGAGAAGAACGUUGGUGAGAGUGGAAAGCUCAUCAAGUGACGGUAACUACCCAGAAAGGGACGGCUAACUACGUG